rnacentral:rRNA from 1 species
GUCUGUGAUCAUACCACCCUGAAUGCACCUAAUCUCAUUUGAUUUUGGAAGCUACAGGAUUGGGCCUGGUUAGUACUUGGAUGGGAGACUGCCUUGGGAGUAUAGUGGGUGCUGUAGGCU